rnacentral:rRNA from 1 species
GGAUCCCAUCAGAACUCCGAAGUUAAGCGUGCUUGGGCGAGAGUAGUACUAGGAUAGGUGACCUCCUUGGAAGUCCUCGUGUUGCAUUCCCC